GUCCACGCCCUAAACGAUGAUGACUAGUUGUUGGAGGAGUUAAAUCCUUUAGUAACGCAGCUAACGCGAGAAGUCAUCCGCCUGGGGAGUACGGUCGCAAGAUUAAAACUCAAAGGAAUUGACGGGGGCCAGCACAAGCGGUGGAUGAUGUGGUUUAAUUCGACGCAACGCGAAAACCUUACCUACCCUUGACAUGUACGGAACCUCAUAGAGAUGUGAGGGUGCCCGAAAGGGAGCCGGGUAACACAGGUGCUGCAUGGCUGUCGU
rnacentral:rRNA from 1 species